rnacentral:tRNA from 1 species
AUUUUAGUAGCUUAUAUUUAGAGCAUUAUAUUGAAGAUAUAAAGGAAAAUUUUAUUCUAAAAUA